UACGUCCUGCGAUGUGCGUUUCGGUUCCAAGUUGUUUUGAACCAAUGACAAUGUCCAGGGAGACUUAAAUUGCAUCGCUGCUGAAAGGCCCUAUCUAUUAGAUCAGGGGACUUCAAAGGCGCUGCUGCGGUCACCCACCUGCUGAUGCAGGUUCGAGACAGUGUAACCGGACGGCAUAGGCGGGUCUACA
rnacentral:other from 1 species